rnacentral:snoRNA from 1 species
UGGCUGUGAGGAUAACACUUAAAGUGAAUGGCAGUGAUCAUUUCAUACGCUAUUCUGAGCCAACA